rnacentral:rRNA from 1 species
ACUCAAAGGAAUUGACGGGGACCCGCACAAGCAGUGGAGUAUGUGGUUUAAUUCGAAGCAACGCGAAGAACCUUACCAGGUCUUGACAUCCUCCUGACCGGUACAGAGAUGUACCUUUCCUUCGGGACAGGAGAGACAGGUGGUGCAUGGUUGUCGUCAGCUCGUGUCGUGAGAUGUUGGGUUAAGUCCCGCAACGAGCGCAACCCUUGUUCUUUGUUGCCAGCACGUAAAGGUGGGCACUCUAAGAAGACUGCCGGUGACAAACCGGAGGAAGGUGGGGAUGACGUCAAAUCAUCAUGCCCCUUAUGACCUGGGCUACACACGUACUACAAUGGCCGGUACAGAGGGCAGCGAUACCGCGAGGUGGAGCGAAUCUCAGAAAGCCGGUCUCAGUUCGGAUUGCAGGCUGCAACUCGCCUGCAUGAAGCCGGAAUUGCUAGUAAUCGCGGAUCAGCAUGCCGCGGUGAAUACGUUCCCGGGUCUUGCACACACCGCCCGU